GAUGAACGCUGGCGGCGUGCUUAACACAUGCAAGUCGAACGGGAAACCUUUUAAUGAAGCUUCGGCAGAUUUAGCUGGUUUCUAGUGGCGGACGGGUGAGUAACGCGUGGGUAACCUGCCUUAUACAGGGGGAUAACAGUCAGAAAUGACUGCUAAUACCGCAUAAGCGCACAGGACCGCAUGGUCCGGUGUGAAAAACUCCGGUGGUAUAAGAUGGACCCGCGUUGGAUUAGCUUGUUGGGGGGGUAACGGCUCACCAAGGCGACGAUCCAUAGCCGGCCUGAGAGGGUGAACGGCCACAUUGGGACUGAGACACGGCCCAGACUCCUACGGGAGGCAGCAGUGGGGAAUAUUGCACAAUGGGGGAAACCCUGAUGCAGCGACGCCGCGUGAAGGAAGAAGUAUCUCGGUAUGUAAACUUCUAUCAGCAGGGAAGAUAGUGACGGUACCUGACUAAGAAGCCCCGGCUAACUACGUG
rnacentral:rRNA from 1 species